UUCGAUGUUACUGUUGAGAUAAAAACUAGAUAUAGUGUAAAGGUAAUAAAAACGCAAAGCAGAAGAAACAGAAAGUACUAAAAUAUGCAAUGGGUGGAAAAUAAAUUAUUAUAUUAUUAUCAUUUCAUGUGUAUAGUACGUGGGCGGAAUUAUCAAAUGUUUGAAACGAAUUACAACAGAUUCUCAUUUUCUUGAACCACAUUUAUUGGAAUGAAAUGUUGGUUAAUAGUUAAAUCCCCUUGUCUGAAUAUAAUUUAUUAUUAUUUGGAUGAAAAAUUGCAGAUAGAGAAAAUUAUUGUAGCAACUAACUGUUUAUGCGGCUAGAAUUCAUUAAUUUCCCUCGCUAUCUGCGAUUUGUCCACGGAAAUAAAGUUCUAGUGUAAUUCGGACUUUAUUCGGAUUUCAUUAUUUUCAUUUGCUAUGGCCUACAAGGAAAUGGAACUAUUUGUCCACAACUGCAAACAUUCAUAAUUUGUAAAAUACUUCAAAUUAAUCUAAUUAGUCAAUUCAAUGGAAGAAGAUCGAUUAGUACUGGAAUUAACUGCUGUUUUGAUUGAAUAACAUAGAAACGGAAAAACAACAGUGGAAGCUGUAGAAUAAUUGAAAACGAAGUAAUAUUAUAUCAAGGACAGCAUAGAAG
rnacentral:misc_RNA from 1 species